rnacentral:rRNA from 1 species
AGGCCACUGCUAUCGGAGUUCGAUUAAGCCAUGCGAGUUGAGAGGUGCAAGACCUCGGCAUACUGCUCAGUAACACGUGGACAACCUACCCUAAGGAGGGGGAUAACCCCGGGAAACUGGGGAUAAUACCCCAUAGACUAUGGAUGCUGGAAUGCUUUGUAGUCGAAAGGUCCGCCGCCUUAGGAUGGGUCUGCGGCCGAUUAGGUUGUUGUUGGGGUAACGGCCCAACAAGCCUGUAAUCGGUACGGGUUGUGGGAGCAAGAGCCCGGAGAUGGAUUCUGAGACACGAAUCCAGGCCCUACGGGGCGCAGCAGGCGCGAAAACUUUACAAUGCGGGAAACCGUGAUAAGGGAACUCCGAGUGCCCGUUAAAUCGGGCUGUCCACCAGUUUAAAUAACUGGUGAAGAAAGGGCCGGGCAAGACCGGUGCCAGCCGCCGCGGUAAUACCGGCGGCUCGAGUGGUGGCCACUAUUACUGGGCUUAAAGCGUUCGUAGCUGGUUUGUUAAGUCUCUGGGGAAAUCUACCGGCUUAACCGGUAGGCGUCUCAGGGAUACUGGCAGACUAGGGACCGGGAGAGGUGAGGGGUACUCCAGGGGUAGGAGUGAAAUCCUGUAAUCCUUGGGGGACCACCUGUGGCGAAGGCGCCUCACCAGAACGGCUCCGACAGUGAGGGACGAAAGCUGGGGGAGCAAACCGGAUUAGAUACCCGGGUAGUCCCAGCUGUAAACGAUGCGCGUUAGGUGUAUCGGUGACCACGAGUCACCGAGGUGCCGAAGAGAAAUCGUGAAACGUGCCGCCUGGGAAGUACGGUCGCAAGGCUGAAACUUAA